CAUUUGUUUCAUUCAUAUCCUUCCUUCUGCAUAGAUCUCAUCGACCUUUCCUCAACAAUGCCCAGCCAUAGCGAUAACUGAGGAGAACGAAACCAAACAUGCCCUUCUCCUCUUACAUUGGCGGCAACACUCGCCGUGGAGGGGGAGGAGCCGGCACCACCUGGGCUCAAUCACUCCUCCCCUCCUCCACCGCUAAAUCAAAGAUUCCUCCAAGAAGGUCUCGCAGGCGGACGGCUCUGAUCAACUUCUUAUUCACUAACUUCUUCACUAUAGCUCUCUCGAUCUCUCUCAUCUUCCUUCUCAUCACCAUCCUCCACUUUGGCGUCCCUAAGCCUCUUUCCUCUCCCUUUAAAUCUAGACCCG
rnacentral:misc_RNA from 1 species